GGAGGCAUAGCUCAGUGGUAGAGCAUUUGCCUACCAUGUGUGAGGCCCUGGGUUUGAUCCUCAGCACUGCCA
rnacentral:tRNA from 1 species